GCCGGCUUAGCUCAGUUGGUAGAGCACCCGCCUUGUAAGCGGACGGUCGUCGGUUCGAAUCCGACAGCCGGCUCCA
rnacentral:tRNA from 1 species